UACGUAGGGUGCGAGCGUUGUCCGGAAUUAUUGGGCGUAAAGAGCUCGUAGGCGGUCUGUCGCGUCGGCUGUGAAAUCCCGAGGCUCAACCUCGGGUCUGCAGUCGAUACGGGCAAACUGGAGUGUUGCAGGGGAGACUGGAAUUCCUGGUGUAGCGGUGGAAUGCGCAGAUAUCAGGAGGAACACCGGUGGCGAAAGGCGGCUCACUGGCCCCGGUACCGACGCUGGGGGUGCGAAAAGCAUGGGGGAGCGAACAGG
rnacentral:rRNA from 1 species